UUAUAUUGGCCCCAAAUAUCCUACAACCCAUGGCUUUUCUUCCCUGCAACCCCCCACUCCUGCCUUUCGGGUACUAGCUCUGGGGUGUUCAGAACAAGGGGGUUUAAUACACCCAGGCAGACGUGGAGGGGAGACAGGAGUUGCAGCUUUGCUGGGCCCUGCUGCCAAGGUACUGCUGAACGGCCUGAGCUCUGGGAAAUAAAUUCCGUAAACAGAGUCUAGGCAGAGACCAUUAAAAGUGUUUUCCUAGCAUCUCUUUAUGGGGCAGAACGCUGUCACACUCAGGCUGCUGCAGGGUGGCUGGGCUCUUGUGUUGGCUUGAGGUCCCCCGCACAAACGAGCUUGUUUUUCCCAUUUUCAGUGAGGGGCCUUAAAAUAGACAGAAAAAUCCUUCUCACACCUGCUGACUGCAGUGAACCGAGGCAGGCAAGCCAGGCAGAGGCCGCUCGCCAAACAUCAUCCACUUUGUCCAUCCCCAUCACAUUUCAGGUUAAUGGUGUCUGUGGAUGCAAGUGCAAAGCUGGAAAUGAAAAGAACCUUCCAGAGGAAGCAAACAGCACUGUACAGGCUGCUGUGUUCUGGCCUUCAAAAAGACAGUGGACUUUCUUACUUUGAGCCAUAGAUCAAAAUGUCACAAUGAAGUACAAAGAUGUUCAUUUGAACAUUAAUUGUAAUGGCAAAAACUAGUGGAAAAAACCCAAAUAGUAGAAUAUAUACAUGUGAUAGUUAUGAGAACUUUACAAAUCACAUUUAUUCUGGGUUCACAUUUAUUCAUUUGAAAAUAAGCAAGGGCUUAUUUUCAAGAUCGCUUAAAGGAAGAAUUCACCAACAGGAAGUAAGCCAUAGGUUGGGAGAGACCGGGGGGCCUGGGUGGAUGCUGGGUUGAGGGUACUAGGUGAGCUCCCAAUGGCCCAGUAUGUCAUUUCACCUGCAGGAGGGCAGCCCAUGAGAUGGGAAGUUUUGCGCUUUGCUCACUGAUGUAUCCACCAUGCCUGACACUCACUAAAUAUGCAUCAAAUGGAAAAAUGUACAUCACAUUUAUGAAGAUUUUAAUGACAAGGGAAAACAUUUUUGAUACUAUGUUAAGAAAAGAGGUAAGAAACAAAACCACAUGUAUAUGUAUGGGGAAAAAAGCUAGAAGAAAUUACAUGAAGGUGUUAACUAUGGCUCUGUCUGAGAUGUAAAAUUAGCGGUGACUUUCUUUCCUUAUAAUUUUCUGUGUUUUUUAGCAAAAUAAUUUACCAAUUACUAUGACUUAACCAAUAACAAACAGGGAGAUUGAAAAAGCUGCAACAUGGCCUGGAAAACAAUUGUUCCUCCCACAGACAUUCCUGUGGUCCACUGGGGAAGUGAGCAGCCUGGGACUGCAGUGGUUAACUCCCCACCAGGCUCAGGAGAGAAGGAGUGUCCACCCUCAGACCCGGUGGGAAUCAGGAUCCCUGACCCCUCUACCUUUAACUCCACCAGACCACAUAAGCAGGUGAAUAUGUUAUGGGUUCAACUGGAUCCCCUAAAGAAGAUACACUGAAGUCCUAAUCCCCAUUACCUCAGAACGUGACCUUAUUUGGAAAGAGCAUCACUACAGAGAUAAUCAAGUUAAAAUGAGGUCAUUAGGGUGGGCCCUAAUCCAAUAUGAGUGGUGUCCUCAUGAAAAAGGGGAAACUUGGCCAGGUGUGGUGGCUCACGCCUGUAAUCCCAAUACUAUGGGAGGCCAAGGCAGGAGGAUCACCUGAGAUCAAGAGUUCAAAACCAGCCUGGCAACCUGGUGAAACCCCGUCUCUAUUAAAAAUAUUAAAAAAAUUAGCCGGGCACAGUGGCGGGUGCCUGUAAUCCCAGCUACUCGAGAGGCUGAGGCAGGAGAAUUGCUUGAACCCGGGACGUGGAGGUUGCAGUGAGCUGAGAUCGUGCCAUUGCACUCCAGCCUGGGCAACAAGAGCAAAACUCCGUCUCAAAAAAAAGAAAAAAAAAGUGGGGGGAAACUUAGAGACAGACAUUCACACAGGUAGAAGACCGAGUGAAGGUGAAGACAGGGAUAGGGCUGAUGAGUCUACAGCCACAGAACACCAAAUAAUGACAGCAAACCCACAGAAGCCACGGGAGAGGCCUGGAACAGCUUCUCCCUCCCAGCCUUCAGAACGAACCAAACCUGCUGACACCCUGAUCUUGGACUUCCAGCCUCCAGAACUGUGAGACAAUAAACUGCUGCUGCUUAAGCCACCUGGUCUCUGGUAUUUCACUAUGGUAACCUCAGGAAAAACUAACGCAGUAGGGGAGAGAGCCUGCCUUGGAGUCAAAUCAUGGGAAGACCCUGGCAAGACCUUGUUUCUCUGGGACUCAGUUCACUUAUCUGGAAAUGGGAGACCUGGCCUAGAACAGUGGGUUUCAAACUCAAAUUUAGCCCUAGAAUGAAAUCUGACACGGAAGCCCAAAUAUAAAAGGUAAAAUAAAGCCCAAUUGGGUAAAAGCCUGGUCUGGAUCACACAGUCUCCCUGCAGAGCAGUCUUUGAAAACCACAACUCCAGGUGAUCUGUAAAAUCCCUGCCACCACUCCAUUCUAAGACUGUCCAAACAAGAAACCCACGGACAGUAUCGCUGGGCAUCUUGCAUGUGCCUGAGCUCGUGCCUUCUCUUUCAAGGAGCUUCCGGCCGUAGUGGGGAGGUGAGACUCACACCGCAAAGACAGCGGGGCCACCCUUCCCUCCUGAGAGCUCCAGCUGCGGACAGGUCACCUGAUGUUCCAAACCCGACACAUCUAAAUUUAUUUCGCCCUCCAAGGACAAGCAGAUGCUGUGCCUUAUCACAGCACGGCAAGGUGGCAGAACGACAGACAUGACGCGCCCUUAUCACCCCAAGGACAGCAAUGACGUCUGCAGAGACUUGGUUUCCCUGACGAUGAAAUCAAGAGCUCACGUGCCAGCCAGGCAGGCCUGAAGGGGACUGGGUCACCAAGACGUGUGAGAUUGUGAUCAUCCUCUCAGGGGCCCCAGACUCAUCAGGGGGCACAAAGCUAACAAAGAAAGGGGGAAACAGUGUCACCAUUCCCUCUGCCCCACUGUGGAAUCAGGCAGGGUAUUUGGUCUUUAUUCAUUUGAUUUUUAAUUAGACAAAGAACAUGCCAAUUCAUUCUUUUUUUAAAAAAAAAAACAAUCUUACAGAUAAAGCCAGAGUCCCCUCUGACCUUCACGCCUUCCCUGGGGGUAACCAUUGUUAGGACUCAGGGCUGCAGGCUUCUAGAUGACAUACGUCCUUUCAAGGAAACACACUGGGCCAGAGCAGGGGCCUGGGCAGAGUGUGAUGCUUCCAGCUUCCCUGGGCAAACUGUGGAGCCGUGGGGAGGAAGGAAGGCUGAGGACUGCAGGAAUCAGGGCGGGCUUCCAAGAAGAGGAAGCUGGAGGCAGUGCUCUAGGAAGAGGAGGAUUCCGAUGACUCCAAGGCAACAGUCUCUGGGACACUGAACCCACUUCACCUCAGCACAAAAACAGCUGGCCUCAUUCAUCAUGUGUAGCCGAUUCAGCUUCUCUGGGAAACUCCAAAACCCUCUCAAAGGGUCCUCAACCUCUGCCCUCAAACCACUAUCGCCGUGAGGAUGACGAUGACAAUGACAAUGACGAUGCUGAUGACAAUGAUGGCCUGUGUGCAACACUCUGCUGGCCCUCCCAGAGGCUCUACCAGGAAUCCCCCACAGCCUGGGACUUCUGCUCCUGGAAACAGUUAAGGCUUUGGCAAGAGGCUCUCCCACAAGGCAAUUCGAUCUCCCCUGUCUGUCUGUGAGGGUUCGGGGCACUGCUGUGGCACGCCAGACACAGCAGCUACUUUCUGUGAACAGCCUCCUCAUAAACGUCAGUCCUGUUGGGGGGUGGGGAGGGGGCCUUGAUUUAUUAUAUAGCUUUUGGACAGUUCCUACAGAAAUAUUGCCAAACAGUGGAAUAAUCAACUCUUUCACUCAAGCCCCCUCAGACUUUUUUAAAUGAAAGAAUAAAGUACGCAAUGAGCCUGAGCUAAAUAAAUAAAAAUGCCACACUUUUGCCCAACAGACCUUUCUGCGUCACUGAGAAAUAUUUGCAGACCUCAACAAUCUUUUAUCUUCGUGAUGAUGUUCCAGCCUUCCAAGUUUCGGACAUCCUAAGAAAUUCUUUGAUUUGGGCUCUCUAAUGAUCUCCCAUGAACAAUUAUCCCAUUAACUAAUAAAGUCACUAUUUGAUGUUUCACCAA